CAUGCAGUUUGGAUAGAUUUAGAUAAACCACCUAUGAAGUGAAUAGACGAUUUAAGAUGUGUAAUUACUGCUAAACAGAUUAUAACAAAGGUUAUACAUGUAUGAGACGAUGAAGAGUUACAAUAAAAACAAGGAGUAAAAAAACAGAAAGGAGGGAACAGAAGGGGACAUUUAUAAAAAUAAAAAGCUUGUAAAAGAUUUAUGAUACUUUUUUUCAAACGGUGUAUAAAUACUGUAUUAUUCCUUGAGUGUAGUUUUUUACUGAAGAUGUAUCAAGUCAGCCUUUAGAAGAAAAAAACUUUUCAAUAACAGAAACAUAAAGGAACAUGGAAAA